rnacentral:rRNA from 1 species
CUACGGGAGGCAGCAGUGAGGAAUAUUGCACAAUGGGGGGAACCCUGAUGCAGCAACGCCGCGUGGAGGAUGACGCAUUUCGGUGUGUAAACUCCUUUUAUAUGUCAAGAAAAUGACGGUAGCAUAUGAAUAAGCACCGGCUAACUCCGUGCCAGCAGCCGCGGUAAUACGGGAGGGUGCAAGCGUUACUCGGAAUCACUGGGCGUAAAGGACGCGUAGGCGGGUUGGAAAGUCAGGUGUGAAAUCCUACAGCUUAACUGUAGAACUGCACUUGAAACUUCUAAUCUAGAGUAUGGGAGGGGGAGAUGGAAUUAGUGGUGUAGGGGCAAAAUCCGUAGAUAUCACUAGGAAUACCUAAAGCGAAGGCGAUCUCCUGGAACAUUACUGACGCUAAGGCGUGAAAGCGUGGGGAGCAAACAGGGUUAGAUACCCCGGUAGUC